rnacentral:rRNA from 1 species
GACGAACGCUGGCGGCGUGCUUAACACAUGCAAGUCGAACGAUGAAGCCUAGCUUGCUAGGUGGAUUAGUGGCGAACGGGUGAGUAAUACGUGAGUAACCUACCUUUAACUCUGGGAUAAGCCUGGGAAACUGGGUCUAAUACCGGAUACGACCAAUCUCCGCAUGGGGUGUUGGUGGAAAGCGCUAUGUAGUGGUUAUAGAUGGGCUCACGGCCUAUCAGCUUGUUGGUGAGGUAACGGCCCACCAAGGCGACGACGGGUAGCCGGCCUGAGAGGGUGACCGGCCACACUGGGACUGAGACACGGCCCAGACUCCUACGGGAGGCAGCAGUGGGGAAUAUUGCACAAUGGGCGCAAGCCUGAUGCAGCGACGCCGCGUGAGGGAUGACGGCCUUCGGGUUGUAAACCUCUGUUAGCAGGGAAGAAGAGAGAUUGACGGUACCUGCAGAGAAAGCGCCGGCUAACUACGUG